rnacentral:rRNA from 18 species
AAUCCAUAGGUUAAUGAGGCGAACCGGGGGAACUGAAACAUCUAAGUACCCCGAGGAAAAGAAAUCAACCGAGAUUCCCCCAGUAGCGGCGAGCGAACGGGGAGGAGCCCAGAGCCUGAAUCAGCAUGUGUGUUAGUGGAAGCGUCUGGAAAGGCGCGCGAUACAGGGUGACAGCCCCGUACACAAAAGCGCAUGUGCUGUGAGCUCGAUGAGUAGGGCGGGACACGUGGUAUCCUGUCUGAAUAUGGGGGGACCAUCCUCCAAGGCUAAAUACUCCUGACUGACCGAUAGUGAACCAGUACCGUGAGGGAAAGGCGAAAAGAACCCCGGCGAGGGGAGUGAAAAAGAACCUGAAACCGUGUACGUACAAGCAGUGGGAGCACAGGUUUACCUGUGUGACUGCGUACCUUUUGUAUAAUGGGUCAGCGACUUAU